UACGGGGGGGGUAAGCGUUGUUCGGAUUCAUUGGGCGUAAAGGGUGCGUAGGCGGCGCGGUAAGUCGGGUGUGAAAUCUCGGAGCUUAACUCCGAAACUGCAUUCGAUACUGCCGUGCUUGAGGACUGGAGAGGAGACUGGAAUUUACGGUGUAGCGGUGAAAUGCGUAGAUAUCGUAAGGAAGACCAGUGGCGAAGGCGGGUCUCUGGACAGUUCCUGACGCUGAGGCACGAAGGCCAGGGGAGCAAACGGG
rnacentral:rRNA from 1 species